rnacentral:lncRNA from 1 species
GCACUCGUCCCCAAAGCUGGGUAAUUUUGGUCUUUCGCUAAUUUCCAUUAUGUCGGCCACUCUUAAUGAUCAUCGUCGUAAAAAAUUACGAUUUUAUGUUUCAACCAUUUGAAUGUAUGCAUUUGAUUGGAUUUCCUGUAACUACUCCGUUAGUUCCUCAUAGCGUGUUGAUGCAGCCUCUUUCUUUGUUAAGGACGUCAGGUGAGAGAGAAGCUAAGUUGAGUUACCUACUGCUAUGGCGAGCUCAGAUGCAGGGACGCCAUCUGGAAGUGAGUACCAAGUUUUCGUGAGCUUCAGAGGACCAGAUACUCGCAUUGGAUUUACCAACGUCCUCUACCAUAGUUUGCACGAUGUCGGAAUCCGUGUCUUCCUAGAUGACGAAGAGCUCCGAGUUGGUGAAAUGAUCGCUGGAUCGCUUAAGCAAGCAAUCAAUAACUCCAAGAUCUACAUACCCGUCUUCUCUAAGACCUAUGCUUCGAGCAAAUGGUGCCUUUGCGAGCUCAGGCAGAUCAUGGCAAACACUUUGAGAUCCGGAGGGAAUAAAGAGAUCCUCCCUAUUUUCUACGAUGUGGAACCUGACGAUGUUAAGUUAAAAUCUGCCUUUGUGAGCUCAGGCAGAUCAUGGCAAACAGUUUGAGAUCCGGAGGGAAUAAAGAGAUCCUCCCUAUUUUCUACGAUGUGGAACCUGACGAUGUUAAGUUAAAAUCUUCGCUAUAUCGUAUGCCAUACUUGAGUUAGAAAGCGAGAAGAAGUUGAGCAAUGAGCAAGUAGAUGCGUGUAGAA